AUGGCAUCCAAGGCCCAAGAAUCCUCCUCUAUGAAGGCACUGGUUGUUGAGGACAACACAGUUCAAAGGAUGGUCCUCUCGGCGAAGUUACACAAUUUUCAAUGUGGGAUUACUCUCGCCGUGAAUGGAAAAGAAGCAGUUGACCUAUUCGUUGAGGGGAAGAAGUUUGACAUUAUUUUUUGCGAUAAGGACAUGCCCAUCAUGACUGGUCCUGAGGCAGUUGUAAAGAUCCGUGCUAUGGGGGAAACUGAUGUGAAGAUUGUUGGGAUGUCAGCUGAUGACGAUGCCAUGGAGGUGUUCAUAAGUGCUGGUGCUGAUGUUUUUGUGCCAAACCAAUCAAUGUUCAGGAUCUUGAGUCUAUAA
rnacentral:rRNA from 1 species